AGAUUCCCACUGUCCCUAACUACUAUA
rnacentral:misc_RNA from 1 species